AUUGAACGCUGGCGGCAGGCCUAACACAUGCAAGUCGAACGAGUGGCGGACGGGUGAGUAAUGUCUGGGGAACUGCCCGAUAGAGGGGGAUAACUACUGGAAACGGUAGCUAAUACCGCAUACCAUCGGAUGUGCCCAGAUGGGAUUAGCUAGUAGGUGGGGUAAUGGCUCACCUAGGCGACGAUCCCUAGCUGGUCUGAGAGGAUGACCAGCCACACUGGAACUGAGACACGGCCCAGACUCCUACGGGAGGCAGCAGUGGGGAAUAUUGCACAAUGGGCGCAAGCCUGAUGCAGCCAUGCCGCGUGUAUGAAGAAGGCCUUAGGGUUGUAAAGUACUUUCAGCGAGGAGGCGUUACCCGCAGAAGAAGCACCGGCUAACUCCGUGCCAGCAGCCGCGGUAAUUC
rnacentral:rRNA from 1 species